CCACAAAAGAUCAUCAACGCCUUGUCAUAUUUGGAAUAAUGUGAAUACAAAUUGGAAUUGCAUCAACUUGGAGGACCCUAAGAAGCAACUUGCAAAACGUCUAAGGGUCUUUUUAAGUUAAUGUUUUACGGUGUUAAAAACGACUCAUCAUGAAAAGAAACUAUGACAGAAUGUUAAUUGCCCUGCAUUUUAUGUGCAUAUAUAUUUCUGGAGGAAAAUUUGGGUGUCAAUUUCACUAAUUUUAAGCCAUUACCUUUCUGUACGUGUAAAUAUUAUUAACGGAAAGUUUAUCAGUAAAUUACAUAUGUUGCAUCAUUGAUUAUUGUUUGUUUGAUAACGCUGGCGUGAAUUGGAGCAAAACUACGAUAUAUGUGACAACCUGGCUGAAAAUCUGUUGGGAAGUUUAGAAAAAUGGUUCAAAAUAUUAUUAUUCAUGGUUUAGUGUAUGUAUGUACAUAUGUACAUAAUUUCUGUACUCAAUACCGUAACAAUGAAACCAUGUGUAAUGAGAAAAGUGUGAGCUUGCAGUCCGAGUGGAUUUUGUUCCAGGUUCAUUUGGAGAUUUAAUUCUUCCAUUCUUUCAUUAUACUCCAAUUUACUUUGAUUUUUGAAUAAGUAUUUUCUAAAUGCCUGCAGCUGAUGGAAACGAUUUGCAUAUUUUAGUUUUUGCCAGUGUUGGGUACAAAAUUUUAUACUAAGCGAGACAUACUUUUGAUGUGCCAGUUGCAGCAAGAACAAGACAACCACCCGACCAGAAGAAAUAAAACAAAUUAGCGAAUUUCAUAAAUGGCGACAUGUUGGACUCCAUCAAUUCCGUAAGGGAACUGCUGAAAUGAAUUAGCAGACUGGCAACAAAAUUUAGCAUGUGCAAGCUAAAUGUGGCAUUCAUAUAACGAAAAAGAUACUUGAGCUCGUCGCAUAAAUUGCUGACCUAUUAAGCGAAAAAUAUGAGAAACAUACACAAGUCAGCAUCAGAGUUAAACUAAUUAAGUAAUAGUGUACUCUGCUGUAUUUACUAACCAGCGCCAAUGGUAAUGGUUUCCCACCCUUCAAUAAAUAUUUUUCACACGAGCAUCCCAACUUAUAUGUCACGAGGCAUAGCACAAUUGCGUCCCCUUCAAGUUGGAUUAAGCCACCCAGCGGGUUGACUGCACCACAACCAGGAUUGGGAAUGCGACGAGCCCUAAAAGUGGAAAAAUGUCCUGAAGCAAACCCUAAGAAUUAUGAGAACAUCCCAACAUUACUUAAAUUUUUACUAUUAAAAUUAUGACAUUUAAUUAUAACUUCUCACAAUGCUAGAUAUUGAUGUACUUGGAAAUUGCAGUGUCAGUUGAUGCAGAUUUCGUAGGGACCGAUUUCGGAACCACACAAAUUGUGAAAGUAGAAUUGCACUUGAGACAGUGCUAAUUAGUCGAGCAAUAAAAUAAAGUUGGGUGGGGUCGUCUCUGAUGCGGCGACUUUGCAUAAUUCCUAAAUAACUCGAGGCCAGUACAAAAUAAAGUUGAUAAAUGUGGUUGAUACUGCAAAGGAGCUGAA